GCCGGGCGCGGUGGCUCAAGCCUGUAAUCCCAGCACUUAGGGAGGCCGAGACGGGUGGAUCACGAGGUCAGGAGAUCGAGACCAUCCUGGCUAACACGGUGAAACCCCGUCUCUACUAAAAAUACAAAAAACUAGCCGGGCGAGGUGGCGGGCGCCUGUAGUCCCACGCUACUCCGGANNNNNNNNNNCUAAUUUUUUGUAUUUUUUAGUAGAGAUGGGGUUUCACCAUGUUAGCCAGGAUGGUCUUGAUCUCCUGACCUCGUGAUCCACCCGCCUCAA
rnacentral:SRP_RNA from 1 species